GGAGAGGUGUCCGAGCGGUUGAAGGAGCACGCCUGGAAAGCGUGUAUACGAGUCAAAUCGUAUCGCGGGUUCGAAUCCCGCUCUCUCCGCCA
rnacentral:tRNA from 1 species